rnacentral:rRNA from 1 species
AGUGAACGCUGGCGGUAGGCCUAACACAUGCAAGUCGAACGGCAGCACAGUAAGAGCUUGCUCUUACGGGUGGCGAGUGGCGGACGGGUGAGGAAUACAUCGGAAUCUACUUUUUCGUGGGGGACAACGUAGGGAAACUUACGCUAAUACCGCAUACGACCUACGGGUGAAAGCAGGGGAUCUUCGGACCUUGCGCGAUUGAAUGAGCCGAUGUCGGAUUAGCUAGUUGGCGGGGUAAAGGCCCACCAAGGCGACGAUCCGUAGCUGGUCUGAGAGGAUGAUCGGCCACACUGGAACUGAGACACGGUCCAGACUCCUACGGGAGGCAGCAGUGGGGAAUAUUGGACAAUGGGCGCAAGCCUGAUCCAGCCAUACCGCGUGAGUGAAGAAGGCCUUCGGGUUGUAAAGCCCUUUUGUUGGGAAAGAAAAGCAGCAGGUUAAUACCCCGCUGUUCUGACGGUACCCAAAGAAUAAGCACCGGCUAACUUCGUG